rnacentral:rRNA from 1 species
UACGUAGGGUGCAAGCGUUGUCCGGAAUUAUUGGGCGUAAAGAGCUCGUAGGCGGUUUGUUGCGUCGGCUGUGAAAUCCCCGAGGCUCAACCUCGGGUCUGCAGUCGAUACGAGCAAACUAGAGUGUUGCAGGGGAGACUGGAAUUCCUGGUGUAGCGGUGAAAUGCGCAGAUAUCAGGAGGAACACCAAUGCGAAGGCAGCACUCUGGGACGUGACUGACGCUGAGACGCGAAAAGCGUGGGGGAGCAAACAGG